rnacentral:rRNA from 1 species
UACGAAGGGGGCUAGCGUUGCUCGGAAUUACUGGGCGUAAAGCGCACGUAGGCGGUCUUUUAAGUCGGGGGUGAAAUCCUGGAGCUCAACUCCAGAACUGCCUUCGAUACUGGAAGACUUGAGUCCGGGAGAGGUGAGUGGAACUGCGAGUGUAGAGGUGAAAUUCGUAGAUAUUCGCAAGAACACCAGUGGCGGAGGCGGCUCACUGGCCCGGUACUGACGCUGAGGUGGCGAAAAGCGUGGGGAGCAAACAGGG